rnacentral:tRNA from 1 species
AGUUUUAUAGUUUAAUUAAAAAUAUUAAAUUGCAAAUUUAAAGAUAGUUAUUUUUUUAUCUUAAGGCUU